AUUCCGGGCAAAGUGAUUUUUUGGGACUGUAUGGGGAGAGAGACACAUGCUAGCUUGGCCCGCCCGGGAGAAACGGAGACGGGAGACUGUUGUUCUGUCGCCUUCUAGCUAGGGCAGUAGUAUCACUGCUUGAGUUGAGGCUCUAUUUACGACAGAGGUCAAUCCAGGGGUGGAUAACGAGCUAACAUAAAUUUUAGCCUUUUUGUCCAGCACCGAUACGAUGCAGAAGGAAGAGGAAAUAUAGGUCCUCUAGCUCACAGCUAGCCUAGCUUUCCCUGCUUACGUGGAGCCAUGCCAAACACUUAAAUAGAACUGGAUUUUGGUGGAGUGCUGAUAAGAAUCGCCAAACUCAUCCCGCUACUCCCCAUUCAUUACCACAUGAGUCACUCUAGAAUUGAUUAUCACCUGUUCUCAUCUUACUCCCUACUAGAAUCACUCAUUCCGAGAGAAUCACCGGCCUUAGGUCUUCUUUAGUUUUUUAGUGAAAAGUUUUUUUUUUUUGAUACUGCAACACUUUUAUUUUCGGAUACUGUGGCAUUUUUAUUUGUAUUUAGUAAUUACUGUCCAACUAUAUACUAAGUAGACUCAAAAGAUUCAUCUCGUAAUUAAAUUAUAGACAAACUGUGUAAUUAGUUAUUUUUUUAUCUAUAUUUAAUGCUUCAUGCAUGUGUCGUAAGAUUCGAUAUGAUGAAAAAUUUUAAAAAGUUUUUUAAUUUCAAGUGUAACUAAAUAAGGCCUAAGAUCAUUCAUUCGAAAAAAAAUCAAGAAGUAAAGCCGAAGAAUCUGCCACCGUGGAUCUCGUUUCUGGCAUGUCUGGACCAUUUUAGGAGCAGUAGUCUGACAUGUCUCGAUCAUUUUAGGAGCAGUAGCCACGGUUUAUCUCUUUUUUUCUGAAUCUAGGAACUUUAUUUUAUCUUCUCUAACAACGACGAUGUCUCAUUGGUUUACACCUUUAAUAUUGUUUGGUUUUUCAGAGGUGGUUAUAAAGGUAAAAUGUAUAUAGGUUUGUUUAUAAAAGUAAGUAUGUGUUUAUGUUAUUUGUGAGCGUUUGUGUU
rnacentral:lncRNA from 1 species